UGUUCUGUGGCUUAGUUGAUUAAAGCGCUGGACUAGCGUUAUGGAGUCGUGGGUUCGAAUCCCAUCAAAACCA
rfam:Aedes albopictus isolate Foshan contig71611, whole genome shotgun sequence.